rnacentral:lncRNA from 1 species
CGCCCGGGCCCGGGGCUCGGCACACACCCUUGGGAGACCCGGGCGCAGCCGCCAGUUGGCCUUACGUAAGCUCUCAGCCCAACCAGGGGGCUUCAUGCUUCCUCCCCGUCCAGGGAGUGAGUCUCAAAGGUGGCUUGUUUUCUGGACCGAAGGGAGGGGGGCACUUGAUACCAUCCCCUAGUGAUUUGCUGCGGUCCAGUCAUCGCGUUUUGCGGGGACAUCGAUCGGUUUGCCAAGCUCUCCCCGCCCUUUGUUGUGUUUGAUCCCCUUCCAGGGUGGGAUUCCGAGGGAACUGUGCAGGGUAAGAAAAGAGCACCGGAGAUGGAGUCCGCAGAGCAGGGCUAGACGCUUGCGGCUUCCUCCCUUUAAUUAAAUAUCCCUUACGUAGUUCGAGCGCGGGUUUUGAACCGGACUUCCUGGGGUCAGUCAUCCCGCAACCAUUUAUGAGUUGUGUGACCUGAUGCAAGUUAGCUCUCCGAGUAUCUUUCUUCUCCUUUCGAAAUCAGAUACUGUGCACGGACUGUCUGAGUACUUGGCUUAUUAUAAGUGUAGCCGUUAGAAUUGUGCGCCUUCACCGGCACAGUUUGCAGUCUCAAAACUUUUAUGUCUUUAGCUCUAUAAUGGAAUAAUAGUGCCACCGUUAAAUAAGAGAAACAGCCUUUGGAGGUAAACAUUAUUAUCCCCAUUUUACAGAUAAACAAGUGAUGCUCAGAUACCUUAAGUGCCUUCCUAAGGUAGAGAGCAUAGCAAAUGCAUGGGUGAGGAGCCCGCCGCCAACCUCCUUUUCAUUUUUACCCGUCCUUACUUUUCAGGAAGUGGUUGAAGCAUCUGGGCUUCCUCCCCCACCCCCAAGGGCACCCCACCUCUUAGUCCUGAAAAAGGCCCUUGAGGUGCCCAGCCCAGCACGAGCUGGGUGUGUUCAGCCAACGGAAAUGUUUGUUCCUCUGUCCCUUCCUAGGACCUGGUGUUAACCUUUUUUCAGCUAGCUGUAAAUGUCACUUCGCACCAGGAUGACCUUGCAGUUUAUUGUCCAAACCGAAAUAGUUAUGAGAGUGAACUGUCAGACAUGUUACUAAUAAAUUAACCAGUAACAACAGAUGCAAACCUAAAUGGAUAGUCACCCUGCUUAUAACUUAGAGAGGGUCCUUAGAUAUCUUCUAAAAUCUAAAUGAACCCACUUAUUUUGCAAACUGAGGCCAAUAAGACUGCUGAUUUUCUAAACACGUUGUGUAGGGUUAAUCCCUUUUAUUUUUUUUGUACAUGAGAAAAACAGUUGGCUAAAUCAAGCUCUUUCCACGGUAACCCAGUGCUUGCACCCUACUCCUCCUUAGCGCCAAAAAUGUGAAGAAAGAAGAGAGACCCUUCCCUCCAUGCCCAGUUGAUUCAUGAAACUGCUCUGGGAUCAGGGGAUUUUUUUUUUUUCCAAAGCUACUUACUGCCCCUGUGGUCCUAGUUUUCUUUUUUUCUGCAUGUGCUGCCUCUUUUGUUGUUAUGGCUGGAAACCUCGUACCCCACCAGUAAGCGUGUUGCACAUAAAAUGUCCCACUAUAUUCAGCAACGUCUGGCUUAGCUUUUAAAAUUUGAUGGGAUUGGUUUCUUGGCCCUCCCUGCUUCAUGUUUUAGAUAGGUUAGCUCUUCCUAAACUUAACCUCCCAUUUACUAAUUCCACCUUCCUCUUGGUCACUUUACUUUCUGCCGUCUUGCAUUCACUCUACAAACACGGGGCACCUACCAUGGGCCAAGCCCCGUGCUAGGCGCCAAAUUUCCAAAAUUAGUAAUGUGAGGGCUGUACCCCUUCUGAAAAGUCCGGAGGGCAACAGGGAAAACAAAUCAUCCCAACUUCACUAUUGGUGGAUGAGAACACAGAGUAAGGAAGGAGAGCGCAGAGAGUACCGCUUACCAAAGAGUCCCGUUGCAAUGAGGCAGGACAUGUGAUCAGUUCUGACCAAUGAAAUGUAGGUGGAGGUGUCCAGUGUUACCAACGCCUGAGGCAGUGGAAAGCCACUCUCUUAUUCUCCACUAUCUUCCCCUGCUGUAAUUGCACUGGAACCUGUGUACUGGCUAAAAAAAGAUGGAGCCGCCAUAAGCCCAGGUGACCAUGAAGCAGACCCUCUCUUGAUUAUGUUGGCCACGUAACACGAGCAAAAAAUAGACUCAGGGCGAAGCCACUGAGAUCUGAGGGUUGUUUGUUGGUGUAGAAUGUUUUCAUUUAACUUGAUUAAUUAAUAGAGGAAAGCUGUGUCUGCCUCUAGAAUCACUGGAGUAAGGGCUUUAGAAAAUUCCACCCAUUGCUCCUUCUGAUCUUCUUUUAACAUUAAAAUGUGACAUGAACCAAAAAUACUGUGCAAAGUAUUUUACGUCAAAACGGAAAUUGAGAAAAGAAAGCUGGAAAGAUGUGGGUUGAAGCAUUGGCUGGGGAAGGUGAAUGGAGCAGACAAGAGGAAGCUGGUGCCAGGGAGAAAAUAGCUCAGCCAGAAGUUCCCAUGGUGAUCCAGUGGAAACAAAUGGGACUAGUACCCAAGAGGACUUGGGUUCGAUCCCUGGCCUUGCUCAGUGGGUCGGGGAUCCAGUAAGAAUGUGAACUGUGGUGUAGGUCGCAGAUGUGGCUUGGAUCUCUCGUGGCUGUGGCUGUGGCGCGAAGGCCAGUGACUGUAGCUCCUAUUCAACCCCCAGCCUGGGAACUUCCACAUGCUGCCAGGUAUAGCCCUAACAGUGAACAAGAUGCAAAUAGAGAGCUGAUGGAGGAUUUGGGGAGGAAAGGUGGCAAUGACCAAGGUUGGGGCUGGAGAUUGAGGAAACAUCCUUUCUUUCCUUCUUUGCAUAUUCUAGAAGGUGCAUCCACCACCUGGACUUUAGGCAGGUAUAAGACAGCAGUAUAAGCAUUCUGAUUUUGUGUGUGUGGUAAAAUACUCCUAACAAAAUGUAUGCUCUUGGCCAUUUUCCUGAACCUAGCCACAGUUCAGGGGUAUUGAGUACAUUCAUAUUGUCAUGCAACCGUCACCACCUCUAUCUCCAGAAACCUUUCAUCUUAUCACAUUGAAAUUUUGUACCCACUAAACAAUAUCUCCUCAUUCCCCAGCCUCUAGAAACCACCAUUCUACUUUCUGUCUCUAAAUUUGACUAUUCUAAGUACCUUGUAUAAGUAGAAUCGUGUAUGGAGUUCCUAUUGUGGCUCAGUGGUUAACGAAUCCAACUAGGAACCAUGAGGUUGCGGGUUUGAUCCCUGGCCUUGCUCAGUGGGUUAAGGAUCCGGCGUUGCAGUGAGCUGUGGUGUAGGUCACAGACUCUGCUCGGAUCCCACGUUGCUGUGGCUCUGGCAUAGGUUGGCGGCUACAGCUCCGAUUCGACCCCUAGCCUGGGAACCUCCAUAUGCUGCGGGAGUGGCCCUAGAAAAGGCAAAAAAAAAGACAAAAAUAAAAUAAGUAGAAUCGUGUAACACUUGUCCUUUGUGUCUGGCUUAUUUAGAAUAAUGUCUUCAGGGUUGAUUGACAUUGUUGCAUAUGUAAAAACGUUCUUCUCUUUUCAUACUGAAUAAUACUCCAUUGUAUGUAUGUAGCUGUACUGGGUUUUGAUACCCAACUUUCACACUUCUAGACUUUAGACCCACCACCAAGCUGUGUCUGGUCUGUAGUGCCACCUGGUGGUCAGUAAGGGGCAUCCUCUGUCCUCAUAUAUUUUUCCUUUGCAGCCGUGUCCCUGUUGUGUUUCUGCACCCACUGGUGGGCCAGUUCAGUCUCAGGCAUUCUUUCUUAAACGUGGCCUAACAUCACCCUUUAUUAUCUCCCUUUCAAUAUCUCUUCCAAAGGAGAGGAAUUUAUAUCUGGAAAGUCUGUCCCUACCCCUCCUUUACCCUGAUUCACUCAUCCCCACUGGUGAUGAAUGAGAGUCUGACAGCCAUUGGGCCACAGUUCAUGAGGGAGCAGGGUCACUGGGUGACAGGUCACUCUCCUUACUCAGUAUGUCCUCUUUCUUUCUGGUGCAUUUUGUUCCCAUACAAUAAGAACACCUGGGUGGGGAGUUCCCAUUGGGGCUCAGUGGUAACAAACCCAACUAGUAUCCAUAAGGGUGCAGGUUCAAUCCUUGGCCUCACUUAGUGGGUUAAGGAUCCGCUGUUGCUGUGGCUGUGGUGUAGGCCGACAGCUGUAGGUCCAAUUCGACCCCUAGCCUGGGAACUUGCAUAUGCUACAGGUGCAGCCCU